ensembl:lncRNA
GGAGCUGGUUCCUCAUUAAACAAUUCCAGCACUAACUUUACUUUUUAACAAAUUACUGCUGUUAUAUUUUGGUAAUCUCUGUCUAAACAGAAUAAUGUCAGUGACUAACACAGUUAUCUGUUAUACAGUGUCAGCAUUUUCCCGGCAACUUCCCACUCACCCUUUGGCCCAUUUCAAGCAAAUCUUAUGGUGGCCUGACAUUCUUAAAAGACAGCAAGUUUCCCCAGGUGUGAAAACAUAGUGAGGUUAUCAGCUUAUUUGGACUUCCUGUAAUAAUGUCAUACUCGCUUUCCCCAGACAAAUAACCAAAGGACUGAACGCUUCCGACGGCACAGCUGCCAGCGUUGUGCAAGCAGCAGAGCUAAUGGUAUGCCAGUCUCCUGUGGUCAUAGCUUAUGCCUAGAUUCCCCGAUGUCAAAUCUAAGUGACGCUUGCACCAUAACUCUUUCUUCAUUAUAAAAUCUCCCUUUUUCUUGUCUGGUUUUGUGCCAUUUGGAGAAUGUGCUUUGGCUGGAAUCCUUCUGUCAGAUUUUCUUUAAAUUGUUCAGUGGGCAUGAAGUGAUUGGGAGAAGCAACCAUGUCAAAGACAGAGCGCUAUACAGGAGGCAGGGUGAUCACAUAAAUCUGCAUUAAUUGCUACAGGAUUGCAGUUUUACUGCCUUGCAGUGGAGCAGAGGAAGUGGAGGAUGGAGUAUAGCGGAGGAAGUGAUGCAGGGGAAUUCUUUACUGCUCUCAACGCUUGCUUUGGACAACUUUCCCACCAAAACAGAUAUCAGUGUUUGUGAGCUGGUUAACUGUGGCAAGGGCUAAGUAGUCCUUGCUGUAAACCUGUGAGGGUCACAGCAGUGGGCUGCAGGAGAGACUGCUACAGCUGUGCAGACGGAAUGAAGAGGCCAAAGGUCACUCCAUAGAAUUUCUUCAUCCCACAGGAUCCAUUUCUUCACAAGCGGUAUUGCAGCGCACAGGAUAAAGAUAUCAGAAAUAGGUUUCAGCCAGCAGCUGUGGUGGUUGCCAUCUCCUCAUCAGCAUGAAACUCACAGCAGUCUUUUUGAGAAGGAAAGGUGAGAGCAAAAGUUGACACAAUGCUAGUGUUAUUUUCUUGUGCAGUCCAAAUUUGAGAAUGAGGCCAGAAGGAGGAGGCAAUGGAAAUUUGGAUGUGCUAGUGUGGCUCAGCAGAACUAAAUCACUUCUGGUCCCUGGUCCAGCUUCUUUAAGCUUGACAGGUAGCUUUACACUGCAAUGUAGACAUAUAUGCAGUGCUUUGAAUAAACAACUGCAUUAUAUUAUCAAUCCUCUUAUUUGUUGCACAAUGUUCUGGUAAAGAAAAAAAUAAUUAGAAUGGAUGCUGACCACUAGAGUUCAUGGCAGCCUGGGUUCAGCCUCGUAGACAUCUCCUAAGGAGAAAAUGACUCAUUGUUCAGGGACUUUUUUAAAAUUAACCGUUCUCAUCGUACCGAGGUUGGGGAAUUCCAGUGUAUUGAAAGAUAGAAUCCACAUUCUAUUCACUGCCACAGUUUAUGAGAUUUGCUGCAUCCAUUUUAAGAUCUGGCUUAUUCAGACCAAUUAUAUUAACUGACACCAAAGCCCUAAGAACCUUGGUUUCUGGUGAGCAGAUGCCAUCUUUGAGGGAUGAAGCCAGAAACCAAGAAAAGCCAGAGUUCAAGUCAAGCAAAUGCCAACAUACCUUUAAGCUAUAUGUAAGCCUUCCUGGGUGGGACGUGGUACAGGGAGCAGCUUGCCUACCGGGAUUGGAGCUAUCUUAGCAUAGAGCAUUC